UCAAAUACCAGUUCUUAUUUGAUCACCAAAGUUAAGCAGUGUAAAGCCUGGUCAGUACUUAGAUGUGUGACCACUUGGGAACACUAGGUACUGUAA